UAGGGAAUAUUGGGCAAUGGCCGAGAGGCUGACCCAGCCAUGCCGCGUGCAGGAAGAAGGCCUUCUGGGUUGUAAACUGCUUUUAUCAGGGAAGAAAACGCUCUUGCGAGAGUAACUGACGGUACCUGAUGAAUAAGCACCGGCUAACUCCGUGCCAGCAGCCGCGGUAAUACGGAGGGUGCAAGCGUUGUCCGGAUUUAUUGGGUUUAAAGGGUGCGUAGGCGGCCCGUUAAGUCAGCGGUGAAAUCCCAGGGCUCAACCCUGGAACUGCCGUUGAUACUGGCGGGCUUGAGUUCGGUCGAGGCGGGCGGAACUGGUGGUGUAGCGGUGAAAUGCAUAGAUACCACCAAGAACCCCGAUUGCGUAGGCAGCUCGCUAGGCCGAAACUGACGCUGAGGCACGAAAGCGUGGGGAGCGAACAGG
rnacentral:rRNA from 1 species